UACGUAGGGGGCAAGCGUUGUCCGGAAUCAUUGGGCGUAAAGAGCUCGUAGGCGGUCUGUUGCGUCGGCUGUGAAAACCCGGGGCUCAACUCCGGGCCUGCAGCCGAUACGGGCAGACUAGAGUUCGGCAGGGGAGACUGGAAUUCCUGGUGUAGCGGUGAAAUGCGCAGAUAUCAGGAGGAACACCGGUGGCGAAGGCGGGUCUCUGGGCCGAUACUGACGCUGAGGCGCGACAGCGUGGGGAGCAAACAGG
rnacentral:rRNA from 1 species